rnacentral:rRNA from 1 species
UACGUAGGGUGCAAGCGUUAAUCGGAAUUACUGGGCGUAAAGCGUGCGCAGGCGGUUUUGUAAGUCUGACGUGAAAUCCCCGGGCUCAACCUGGGAAUUGCGUUGGAGACUGCAAGGCUAGAAUCUGGCAGAGGGGGGUAGAAUUCCACGUGUGAGCAGUGAAAUGCGUAGAGAUGUGGAGGAACACCGAUGGCGAAGGCAGCCCCCUGGGUCAAGAUUGACGCUCAUGCACGAAAGCGUGGGGAGCAACAGG